UAGGGAAUCUUCGGCAAUGGACGAAAGUCUGACCGAGCAACGCCGCGUGAGUGAAGAAGGUUUUCGGAUCGUAAAACUCUGUUGUUAGAGAAGAACAAGGACGUUAGUAACUGAACGUCCCCUGACGGUAUCUAACCAGAAAGCCACGGCUAACUACGUGCCAGCAGCCGCGGUAAUACGUAGGUGGCAAGCGUUGUCCGGAUUUAUUGGGCGUAAAGCGAGCGCAGGCGGUUUCUUAAGUCUGAUGUGAAAGCCCCCGGCUCAACCGGGGAGGGUCAUUGGAAACUGGGAGACUUGAGUGCAGAAGAGUAGAGUGGAAUUCCAGGUGUAGCGGUGAAAUGCGUAGAUAUAUGGAGGAACACCAGUGGCGAAGGCGGCUCUCUGGUCUGUAACUGACGCUGAGGCUCGAAAGCGUGGGGAGCAAACAGG
rnacentral:rRNA from 1 species